rnacentral:rRNA from 1 species
CCUACGGGAGGCAGCAGUGGGGAAUAUUGGACAAUGGGCGCAAGCCUGAUCCAGCCAUGCCGCGUGUGUGAAGAAGGCCUUCGGGUUGUAAAGCACUUUCAGCGAGGAGGAAGGGUUAGUAGUUAAUAGCUGCUAAUUUUGACGUUACUCGCAGAAGAAGCACCGGCUAACUCUGUGCCAGCAGCCGCGGUAAUACAGAGGGUGCAAGCGUUAAUCGGAAUUACUGGGCGUAAAGCGCACGUAGGCGGUUUUUUAAGUCAGAUGUGAAAGCCCCGGGCUCAACCUGGGAAUUGCAUUUGAAACUGGAAAACUAGAGUGUGUGAGAGGGGGGUAGAAUUCCAAGUGUAGCGGUGAAAUGCGUAGAGAUUUGGAGGAAUACCAGUGGCGAAGGCGGCCCCCUGGCACAACACUGACGCUCAGGUGCGAAAGCGU